rnacentral:rRNA from 1 species
UACAUGGGGUGCAAACGUUGCUCGGAAUCAUUGGGCGUAAAGCGCGCGUAGGCGGUUACUUAAGUUGGAUGUGAAAGCCCUCGGCUUAACUGAGGAAGUGCAUCCAAAACUGAGUAGCUAGAGUACGAAAGAGGGUCGCGGAAUUCCCGGUGUAGAGGUGAAAUUCGUAGAUAUCGGGAGGAACAUCGGUGGCGAAGGCGGCCUGCUGGGCUGUUGCUGACGCUGAGGCGCGACAGCGUGGGGAGCAAACAGG